CCCAGCUUUCUUGGGGAAUUUCCCAAGAAAAAGCCUAAGCUGUGCGGAGUGUUGUGGACGCUGGACUUUUGACUAAACUUGUCGACUGCUUCCAAGUUCAGUGUUGUGUAUUUGCGGGCACACCAGGAAACGUAUUCAAAAUUUGGGAAACCAGAGCAUGGUCAGUCGAGAUCUGGUAUGUGAUGGACGGUCAUAUUCAGGCAGCGGCAUGGAGCCCGUGUGGAACGAAAGCAAUUUUUGCAGAUUCCGUCCACCUCAUACUUGAUUGUGUGGAGCUCCUCAACAAAAGCCUCGACUGUGGUAGCUGACUUCACAGAAACUCAGUCUUUAACAGAAGAAACUGAGAGAUUUGGUGGUCUGGUACAAGAUCUUGUGUGGGAUUCCCGAGGAGAAAGAUUGGUUGUCAUUUUUCGAACUACAGAUUAUGUGGCCCUAUUCCGCACCUUAUAUUCGCCAACUUUGAGUUUGUUUCCAUGUGGCGUGAUGAAAGGUGAACUUGAUGAAGUGGCAACUACGAUUCAAUUUAAACCUGAUUUUGAAAACGGAUCCCUUCUAACUGUGGGUUGGUCCUCCGGUCGAAUUCAACAUGUGCCUUUCUAUUUUCUUCCUCAACAACUUGAGACCUAAAUUCAACCAUAAUUUUCCCAUAUUUUUAUCGGCAAACCUUUCGUGAAUCCAUGAUAAUUUACUAGUACAUGCUAUCUCAAAUAAAUAACAAAACAUAAA